UGUACUCGCACCAGAAGGUUUUGAAACUGAAGAUUGCUUUAUUUUUAAAGUAAAAUACAUAUUUGAAAUAUGUAUAGAAUGAAUUAAACUCAAAAAUACUCACCAAUUUCAAAAAUCUACAGGAUCAUGAUUUUUCUGUUCUCCACGUCGACAUUGAAUUCAAACAAAAUAUAUUUGGAUAUCAAUCAAACAAAAAUAAAAAAUUUAUUCGAAUUACAUUUACCAACAUAAACUACGUCAACGUCGGCAAACGCCUGCUCGAGAAUGGAUUUGCCUUUGGGGACAAGCAAAGUCAUUUCUACCAAAUCUUCGAGUCAGACGUGUCUAUCGAGAUACGCUUUAUGAUUGAUUUGGACAUGACUGGGUGUUGUUGGUGUGAGAUUGAUUCUCGGUACUUUACUCAGAGGGAUCCAAAGGAGUGUAUUUCUCGCUGUUCUGUGGAGAUUGAUGUGGAAUAUUCACGAAUUAAGGCUUAUCCGGCUAUAGAUAGUCAGUGGGAGGCGAUUGCUCCUCUUCGUAUUUUGAGUUUCGACAUUGAAUGUGCUGGAAGAAAAGGUAUUUUUCCACAGCCUUCCCAAGACCCAGUAAUUCAGAUAGCAAAUGUUUUAAAGUCAUACAACUCAGAUCAGCAGUCAGAAACCAAUCUAAUAUUCACUUUAUCAACCUGUGCCCCAAUUAUAGGAGCGACGGUCAUU